AGGCGAGUCCGACGAGCUUCUCGCUGAUCUCCCAGAGCUUCCUCGCCUUCUCCGGGUCGCUGGCCUCCUGCGAGAGCUGGUUCUCGAACGACGCCGAGUCCUUGUUCCAGCUCCAGUACACCCCCGACUUGGUGAGGCUGGGGUCGCUGACCACCUGCGCCAGCCUCUUGCCGGACUCCGCCUCCGAGACGAACCCCUUGGUGAUGAACUUCUGGAACGGCGGGAAGAGCAGGCGGAAGAGCGGGAUGUGCUCGCGGAACAGCCCCGUGGUGGCGAUGCACCCCGGGUAGAGCGACGCGAAGGUGAUACCCGUCUCCUCGUGGUAGCGGCGGUGGAGCUCCUGCAUGGUGAGCAUGUUGCAGAUCUUGCUGUCCUUGUACGCCUUGGCGCCGUCGAAGCUCUCGGAGCCGUCGAUCAUGGCGGACCCGUUCUGGCCGCGCAGGCCGCCGGCGAGCCCCCGGAGGUCGCCCAGCCCAGCCUUGGGCGGGAUGUUCCCGGCCAGCGUGUUGGUGUUGCCGGUGAUGGAGCCGAGGAUGAUGAGGCGGCGCGACGGGUAGUCGGACUUCUGGAGGUCGUCGAGGAGCAGGCGCGCGAGGAGGAAGUGGCCCAGGUGGUUGACGCCCACGCUCAUCUCGUACCCGUCGGCGGUGAACGUCGGCGUCCGCGCCGUCGGGCGGUAGAUGGCGGCGUUGCAGACGAGGGAGUCGAGCGGCAUCCCGGCGCGGCGGAAGUUGUCGACGAACUGGCGGACGCUGUCGAGGGAAGCGAGGUCGAGGUGCAUGAUGGUGUAGCUGCCCUCCGCCAUGCCCGCGCCCUUGGCGGCCUUGGCCGUCUUGAGGAAGUCGCGGCAGGCCAUGACGACGUGCCACUUGCCCGUCUCCGCCAGCGCCUUGGCCGCGGCCAGGCCGAGCCCCGACGACGCGCCCGUGAUCACCACCACGCCCUGGCGCAGCGUCUUCUUGCCGUCCUUGGUCGCCGUGCUGGCACCCGGGGUGGCCACGGGCGCCGUCGCCACCGCCUGCGCCCUCACCGAAAGCGACGGC
rnacentral:lncRNA from 1 species